AUUGAACGCUGGCGGCAUGCUUUACACAUGCAAGUCGGACGGCAGCACAGAGAAGCUUGCUUCUUGGGUGGGGAGUGGCGAACGGGUGAGUAAUAUAUCGGAACGUACCGAGUAAUGGGGGAUAACUAAUCGAAAGAUUAGCUAAUACCGCAUAUUCUCUGAGGAGGAAAGCAGGGGACCUUCGGGCCUUGCGUUAUUCGAGCGGCCGAUAUCUGAUUAGCUAGUUGGUGGGGUAAAGGCCUACCAAGGCGACGAUCAGUAGCGGGUCUGAGAGGAUGAUCCGCCACACUGGGACUGAGACACGGCCCAGACUCCUACGGGAGGCAGCAGUGGGGAAUUUUGGACAAUGGGCGCAAGCCUGAUCCAGCCAUGCCGCGUGUCUGAAGAAGGCCUUCGGGUUGUAAAGGACUUUUGUCAGGGAAGAAAAGGCUGUUGCUAAUAUCGACAGCUGAUGACGGUACCUGAAGAAUAAGCACCGGCUAACUACGUG
rnacentral:rRNA from 1 species